rnacentral:misc_RNA from 1 species
GAUGAAGAACGCAGCGAAAUGCGAUACGUAAUGUGAAUUGCAGAAUUCAGUGAAUCAUCGAAUCUUUGAACGCAUAUUGCGCUCUCUGGUAUUCCGGAGAGCAUGCUUGUUUGAGUAUCAGUAAACACCUCAACUCCCUUUUCUUUUUUGAAAUUGGAGCUGGACUUGAGUGAUCCCAACGCUUUCUUCCAAGAAAGUGGCGGGUUGCUUGAAAUGCAGGUGCAGCUGAACUUUUCUCUGAGCUAUAAGCAUAUAUAUUUAGUCUGCCUAAAAAACAGAUUAUUACCUUUGCUGCAGCUAACAUAAAGGAGACUAGUUCUUGUGCUGACUGAUGCAGGAUUCACAGAGACAGCUUCGGCUGACUUUGUAAACUCGAUCUCAAAUCAAGUAAGACUACCCGCUGAACUUAAGCAUAUCAAUAAGCGGAGGA